rnacentral:lncRNA from 1 species
GAGUGGUUCUGAGACCAUGGAUGUUCGUAACAAGGAUGAAGUUAUUUCUCGGAUGAGAGCAGCUGUUGCAAGCAAGCAGUUUGGGCAAGAGGAAAUAAUAUGCUCUUUAGUUGCUGACGUAAUAUACUCCUUGCUAUCUAUUUGUUUCCUGUUGUUUCAUUGUUCUGAUUGUUAUUUCUUCAAGGUUAUUGCAGAUUUAGUUUUUACUUGACGGGUUCACUUGUUUUUCUAGGCAUGUAUUCAAGUGUGCCCAAAGAAUCCGACAAACUUCAAUGUGGAUAAUGUCCGUGUUGCCAAGCUUUUGGGAGGAGGCUUGCACAAUUCUUGCAUAGUCCGUGGUAUGGUCUUGAAAAGUGAUGCUGUUGGUAGCAUUAAGCGAAUGGAGAAGGCGAAGGUGAGAUCCCAUUCUUUUUUUAUAUGCUUUUGACCAAGUUUUUUUGUCUGAAUUGAUCAAUGUUUGGCCCCUAAGAAAUAUAGCUUUAUGGGUACGUCUAUCCUGUUUUUGAUAGCUGAAUGUCUCUGAAAUGCUUUCCUCAGGUUGCUGUAUUUGCUGGCGGCGUUGAUACUACCGCAACCGAGACCAAAGGAACUGUCCUCAUUCAUAGUGCUGAGCAGGUUACUCUUUUUUUACAGUUUGGAAUCUCUAUUCUUUUACCAUAUCCUUUCAGUGUGAUGAGCUAGAACAAGAUGAGGCUUCUCUAUGAAUGAUGCAUACGAGUUUUCACCUUUUUUGCACUUAGAUUUGUUACUGUCUUUUAAAAUGUCAAAAUUACAAUCCUGCUUCUAUUAUAUAUUUCUUCAAGGAUGGUUGUAUGUUUUUGAUCGUUAUUGUGACAAAUUUCUCCUAUUUUGGAUUUCUAGCUAGAGAACUAUGCAAAGACAGAGGAAGCUAAAGUUGAGGAGUUGAUUAAAGCUGUUGCAGAAUCAGGAGCCAAAGUAAUCGUUAGUGGGGGAUCAAUUGGAGAAAUGGCAUUGCAUUUCUGUGAGCGCUACAAGUAUGUGUAGAACAUACAUUUCAUACUCCUUUUAGCUAUUGUUACUUUCUGCAUUCUGAUACCCAUUGUUCCGUUGUAGCUUCGUAUGAUACUACCUGUCUUUACUGCCCUUUUAAACCUGAACAUUUUUCUUGGCAGGAUAAUGGUAUUGAAAAUCAGCUCAAAGUUUGAACUGAGGCGCUUCUGCCGUACAGCUGGGGCUGUCGCCCAUGUAAGUAUUUCUAAAUGGCUACCUGAAUGAGUAUCUAAGGGCGGUUUUAUCCUAGCUUUAAUACUUUUAUUAUCAAACAGUUGAAGCUUAGCCGCCCAAGCCCUGAUGAUCUGGGAUAUGUUGAUUCUAUAUCAGUUGAGGAAAUUGGUGGUGUAACAGUAAGUACUCCGAAGUCAAUGCCAAUCCUUUGGUUAAUAUUUUUGGUUUUUCAUUGAUCAUAGACAAUUCUCGGUCUUCUUGUGAUGUCUUUAGGUCACGAUUGCAAGAAAUGAGGAAGGUGGUAACUCCAUCUCUACCGUGGUUUUGCGUGGAAGCACAGAUAGCAUUUUGGACGACCUUGAGAGAGCUGUUGAUGAUGGUGUUAAUACAUACAAGGUAAUAUCUGCUGGGUUAAAGAUUUUUUUUCCCUGUCCAGUUUCAUUUGUACCAAAUAUAUUGUAUUUAUCUUGACUGUUAUUUCUUAUAUUUUCUUCUCAGGCCAUGUGCAGAGACAGCCGUAUUGUUCCUGGGGCUGCAGCUACCGAGAUAGAAUUGGCUCAAAGAUUGAAGGAAUAUGCCAAUGCAGAAAUAGGGUACUUUCUUUUACUUAAUUUUUCAGAAAUUAUCCAUGUGAGGCUAGCUUUUUAUGCAAAACUGUCUAUCGUUUGGUAACUAAACUUAAGUCUCACUUUUGAAUUUUCAGGUUAGACAAAUAUGCCAUCUCCAAAUACGCUGAGAGUUUUGAGUUUGUACCCAAAACCCUUGCAGAUAAUGCUGGCCUCAAUGCCAUGGAAAUCAUAGCCGCUCUGUACACUGGACAUGGAUCUGGAAACACAAAACUAGGCAUUGACUUAGAGGAAGGUGCUUGUAAAGAUGUUUCAGAGACAAAAGUAUGGGAUCUUUUUGCAACCAAGUAAGUUUCACACAGUCUUUCUGCCAUCAGAUCUUUCUGUCAGACUUCUCUAUUCUUACUUAGCAGUUGUUCUUGAACAUAUAGAAAACUGGAGUAGAAUUUUCUGACUGCUUACAAAAAAGACCAUUCAUUUUAAUUGAUAACUAAGAUGUGUAAGUCUCUGUGCAGGUUAUUUGCUCUUAGAUAUGCUUCAGAUGCUGCAUGCACUGUACUUCGUGUAGACCAGGUAUACGAUUCAUCCCAUGAAGUAAAAAGAUAGUGUUCGCUGAAUGCAUUAUCUUCUAAGAUUAUGUCCCUUGUUCGUGCAAACUCUUUGAUUCAAUAUUCAGUUCUAUUGAUAGAUCUCAUCGAGUAUACUAAAAACAUGCAUGUUUAAUUGUUUAUACUCUAAAUGUGUAAAAUGUGCAGAUUAUAAUGGCGAAACCAGCCGGUGGACCAAGGAGAGAUGCAGCUCAAGCUGCAGGUGCUGGUGCGGAGGAAGACUAAGCCGGAGAACAAUUACCUCGUAGUGAAACUCUCUCUUCUUUUGUAACCUUUUGUUCUUUCAAUUCUGAGAAAAUUUUGGUGUGUCUCAGUUUAAGAUUUGUGAUCUUUG